rnacentral:rRNA from 1 species
AAAGGAAUUGACGGGAGCCCGCACAAGCAGUGGAGUAUGUGGUUUAAUUCGACGCAACGCGAAGAACCUUACCGAAACUUGACAUCCUGCGAAUCCUUUUGUAAAGAGAGGAGUGCCCCUUCGGGGGAGCGCAGAGACAGGUGGUGCAUGGUUGUCGUCAGCUCGUGUCGUGAGAUGUUGGGUUAAGUCCCGCAACGAGCGCAACCCUUACGGUCGGUUGCUACGAAAGAGCACUCGGGCCGGACUGCCGUUGACAAAACGGAGGAAGGUGGGGACGACGUCAAAUCAUCAUGCCCCUUAUGUUUCGGGCUACACACGUACUACAAUGGCGAUAACAAAGGGAAGCGAAGCCGCGAGGCGGAGCAAAACCCACAAAAAUCGUCCCAGUUCAGACUGCAGGCUGAAACUCGCCUGCACGAAGUUGGAAUUGCUAGUAAUCGCGGAUCAGCAUGCCGCGGUGAAUACGUUCCCGGGCUUUGUACACACCGCCCGU